rnacentral:rRNA from 2 species
UAGCAUAUCAAUAAGCGGAGGAAAAGAAACCAACAGGGAUUGCCCUAGUAACGGCGAGUGAAGCGGCAACAGCUCAAAUUUGAAAUCUGGCUCUUUCAGAGUCCGAGUUGUAAUUUGCAGAGGGCGCUUUGGCUUUGGCAGCGGUCCAAGUUCCUUGGAACAGGACGUCACAGAGGGUGAGAAUCCCGUACGUGGUCGCUAGCUAUUGCCGUGUAAAGCCCCUUCGACGAGUCGAGUUGUUUGGGAAUGCAGCUCUAAAUGGGAGGUAAAUUUCUUCUAAAGCUAAAUAUUGGCCAGAGACCGAUAGCGCACAAGUAGAGUGAUCGAAAGAUGAAAAGCACUUUGGAAAGAGAGUCAAACAGCACGUGAAAUUGUUGAAAGGGAAGCGCUUGCAGCCAGACUUGCUUGCAGUUGCUCAUCCGGGCUUUUGCCCGGUGCACUCUUCUGUAGGCAGGCCAGCAUCAGUUUGGGCGGUGGGAUAAAGGUCUCUGUCACGUACCUCUCUUCGGGGAGGCCUUAUAGGGGAGACGACAUACCACCAGCCUGGACUGAGGUCCGCGCAUCUGCUAGGAUGCUGGCGUAAUGGCUGUAAGCGGCCCGUCUUGAAACACGGACCAAGGAGUCUAACAUCUAUGCGAGUGUUUGGGUGUCAAGCCCGAGCGCGUAAUGAAAGUGAACGGAGGUGGGAACCCGCAAGGGUGCACCAUCGACCGAUCCUGAAGUUUACGGAAGGAUUUGAGUAAGAGCAUGGCUGUUGGGACCCGAAAGAUGGUGAACUAUGCUUGAAUAGGGUGAAGCCAGAGGAAACUCUGGUGGAGGCUCGCAGCGGUUCUGACGUGCAAAUCGAUCGUCAAAUUUGGGCAUAGGGGCGAAAGACUAAUCGAACUAUCUAGUAGCUGGUUCCUGCCGA